rnacentral:lncRNA from 1 species
ACCGGAGAGGCGGAGGUUCCAGGAGGGAGCCUUCCAGAGUCGGUGCAGGGUUGACAGGAGACGUUUGUUUUGCUUUUCCUGAACUUUCGAUCGCCAGCUUGUUUGGUCUUCUUGAUGUUAUAGGGUUGAUAGAGAGGAGUGGAGUGAUAUCGGACACCCAGCUUCGGCAAGCUCUCUCCAAGGGUGAGUGGGCCAGUGGGACCUGGGUCUCCGGACCAAGAAGCCGCGAGCCUGCCCUGCUCACAGUGGAUAACUUUCUUUCUGAAGUUGAUUUUCCAAGGACAAAGGAAUCAUUAGGGCAAAUUAUUAUUACUGCUUCAUGGUGGAGAUGCUUCUGGUUUAUUCUGUGGCUACCGCUGUUACUGCUUGGAGUGCCUCACCGAGCCAGCUAACAACGGCGUGCGUGAGCACAGGGAAAGGCUUCUUGAGAAAUGAAAACUAGGUUGUAGGUUUAGGAGGGGAAUAGGAAGGUUAGCUCUGUCCAGCCGAAAGCCUUUUGUGCUUGUAUUGUAGGUGAAACCGCACUGAGAAGGUAUUUGUGGCCCGUACGCUGGUUCAUUGAUGAGACUUCUUUGCACAGGAGAGCCGCUAAAAAUUACUGUGGUGAACAGCUGUAUCGAGACUGUCUGCAUCGAAGGCCCUGAUAGUCAGAGUGUGGUCCAUGGGAAGCUUGAUGGAAAUGCUGGAUCUCAGCGCCCUCCUCCCAGUUUGCUGAAUCAGAAUUUACAGUUCACCAAGAUGCCCCGGUGAUUCAGCCGCACACAGUUCCAGAAGCCCUGAGCUAGUUCGUACAGUGUUCUUUACCCACGCUCAUCUCCCUGGCCUGAAUCACAGCGUGUUUGACUUGCUCAAGUUGUAGCCAUGGCUCUCCGUGUUUUGACUGUGACCUACAGAAAGAAACGGACUUUACAACGAGGAAGCAAGUACACCACAGAAACAAUGCCUUCACUACCUGGGGUGCACUCUGCACUCCCAUUCAUUCAGCAGGUAGUUUUGGCACCUGCUUUGCGCCAGGCCUCAUUCUAGCUGCCUGUGUCUAGAAGCCCCGGUUGUUGGGAGGUUUCUAUUCUAGGAGGAGGGCAAGGGGAUCAGAAAGUUAAAAGUAAACCAUGUAUAUAAAGGGCACGCUAAAAGAUAUUUAUUAAAAUCUUUUUUUUUAAAUUACAUUUUUAGGGUAGGGUUCUGGGGUGCUGGUUAUGUUCCAUUUCUUGAUCUGGGUGCUGGGUGUAUUACCUGUAAGAAUGCAAGCUUUCAGCACUUCUCUGGAGGUAUGCUGUACGUCAAUAAAAAGUUCAAAAAUUACA